GAUAGGGUGUCCACGUCUACACGAUUGUGAACCGGGUUCUUUCUUUCAUUCCACACAAACCCUAAUCCUUUACAGCGCCGCUCCAUUUCCUUCUUCUCUCCUCAACAAUCCCUCAUCCAAUUUUUCUCUUCAGUUCUCAUCUAUGGUUGAAGUUCUUAUCCACGUGCUUAACAGAUCUGCUGCAACCGUUGAUGAUAUUAGGGUUUCAUCAUCCAUUCUUGAGUUAACGGCAGUGAAUCAGGCUUGAAGCUCUUAACCACGCGUUUCACAGAUCUGAACCACCGUUUAUGAUAUUAGGGUUUCAUCAUCCAUUCUUGAGUUAACGGCAGUGAAUCAGGCUUGAAGCUCUUAACCAUGCGUUUCACAGAUCUGAACCACCGUUUAUGAUAUUAGGGUUUCAUCAUCCAAUCUUGAGUUAACGGCAGUGAAUCAGGCUUGAAGCUGUUAACCACGCGUUUCACAAGGUUUCUUCAUCCAUUGAUAUUUUUCAUCAGUCAAUCAUGUCUGAAGAUCUUAACCACUCGAUAAACAGAUUAGGAUUUAUUCAAGUAUUGGCAGUCAAUCAACUUGGUGGGCUUCAUUUGAUUAGCACUUCAGUUCAUUCUUCUUUGGAAUUGCUCUAAUCAAAUAAGUCUAUUUAAUAUGGAUAAUUUUCCAUAAACCAACUCAAGCUGUUAAUAAACAUUUUAAAAUGUAAUUGAGGAAUUGUAACUUGGUACUUGAAUAUUCAUACUAAUUUUUUGUAUUGAUAAUUCAAAUUCAAUUGUUGACUUAAUAUGACUAAUAUUUUGGUUUUUAAUUUUUAGUUAUAUUAACAUUAUGGAUUAUGGAUUUGAAAAAGUAAUUAUUUAUAACAUAUCUGAAUCUUAAUAUCUGAAAUCUGAAUAUGAUUUGAUUUGAUAAUCCAAUAUUUUGUUGAAUGUUCCUUUUUGUUUGUGGAUGUUUGCCGUGAAUAAUUUCACCUUUGAUAUCUAGCCUUAGAUGAUAUUUUGUAGUUUAGCACUGGAGUACAUGUUUUUUUAAGUUCAGUUUUGGUUGAUCAUAGACUUUUGAUUUUCAACAACUGUUUUUUGUUGUAGGGCAUACAACUUACUUUCCUUCCAGUCAUCAGUUUGAUCAUUUGAUUGAUGCAUACCUGAUUCCGAAUUGUGAUUCAGUGGAAUUUGAAAUUGUCGAAAGGGCAUACAACCUACUUUCCUUCGAGUCAUCAGUUUGAUCAUUUGAUUGAUGCAUACCUGAAUCCCAAUUGUUAUUUAGUGGACUUUCAAAUUGACGAAAGCUUUCAAGCAAAAGAGUUAACUAAUGGAGCUCGGUAACAUCACUUAUUUGAAGGAUUUGGACCUUGCUCGCCGUGAUUACACUGUGAAGGUUCGUGUACUACGGUUAUGGAAGCAGCCUAUGUAUAACAAUCCAGAUCAGUUUUACUCAAUCGAAAUGAUUGUUGUUGAUGAAGAGGGAACAACCAUGCAAGCCAAUGUUCUCCGAAGAUGGUUUCCCAAAUUUGAACAUCUUUUGAAUGAAUCUGGUAAUAUGUUUCUACCUUUUUAAGUUUUGUAUAUUUAUUUUAGUGCACAAUAU